AGCAAAAGUAGAAGAAAUAAAGAAAAAUGCAUACAAUCAUUCAACAUUCCUCCCUCUUCAAAUGCUCAAAAUCAAAGUUACAAGUGUAUCUUCAAGUAGGUCAAUAUCAAAAGAGAAGAAGGAAUUUUCAGAAAUCAUGCUCGAAGAAUUGAAAAAGCACAAUCAGCCCUUCAAUGCAGCAAAGAUUGGAAAAUCUCAACUUGAUGUUUAUCUAGGAGAGGAGAAUUUGGAGUUUGAUGAUGAUACAUUUAAUAUAUUACAAUGGCGGAAGGGUAAAGCUAAACGUCUUCCAAUUACCACUGUUGCAUCUGAAUCUGCAUUCAGCAUUGGGUCACUGAUCCUUAAUAAAUACAGAAGUAGUCUCUUACCUUAAUGUGUUGAAGCUUUGCUUUGUACCCGUUAUUGGCAGAAUGGUUUUUCCGGAAUGAUGAGGGUGCCUCUGAUGUGAAGAUUGAUGAAUGAUGACGAUGGCAGUUCAUGUUUUGUUGGAGCUUUUUCAAUGCAAUGAAUUAAGCAAGCAUUUUGAAUU